GUCUCAGGCCGUAUCAGCCUGAAGGCGCCCGAUCUCGUCUGAUCUCGGAAGCUAAGCAGGGUCGGGCCUGGUUAGUAUCUUGGAGGGGAGACCACCUGGGAAUCCCGGGUGCUCGAGGUC
rnacentral:rRNA from 1 species